AGGAAAACCAUAUUUCAGAAAUGCUAAGUCAUUAGUUUGCUGGGAACCAGAGGAAGUCUUUUAGAAAUGGCCAAGAGAUCCUUAAAACUUCUGAGGUGACUUUCAGACUCCUUGGUGGAAACUGCGUAGGAAUAAAAUGUGGAUAAGCAAGGAAAAGAAUAUGAAGGAUCAGUGUGCAUCAUAAUGGUGUUUUUGCUCAACUGGAUACAAAGGAGACAGACUUAAAAUGGACCCUUCUUCAUUGGUGCCCUCACACCUUCUCAAAAGGCAACUUGACUUCAACACUUCUUUAUUAAAGGCUUAUUUUUUUUCUCGUUUUUUUGUUUCUGAAA